UGUGUCCGUGGGUGUGUCCGUGUGUCCAUCCCGUGUCCGUGUGUCCAUCCAUGUGUCCGUCACUUCCAGAAGAGCACGUUCCAGAGCAGCAGCCAGCAGGGGUAGGCGCCCAGGCAGAGCAGGGGGCUCAGGUGUGCCCCGUGCAGGUGCUCCUGCAGCAGCCCCUGGCCCAGCGCCCCCAGGAAGCGCUGCCAGGCCUCGCCCAGC